GUACGCUUCGCAACAUCAGAAACGUUCAGUUUCCCUUGUCACGCCGAUCAAUACAGAUCGACCGUUAUUCGUUAACAUUGUAAGCGAUCAGCGUUUGAACAUGCCUUACAACGACUUUAACGACGAACCUAUCAUUGGUCGGAGAUUAAUUAAUUUGCACGAGUCGUACAAGAAGCGAUACGUAGACCGAAUUGUUGACACGAUUUGUUUCGCGGACUGGAAAUCGACGAAGCAAGAAUAGAAAUUUCGGACCAUGGACUUUAUAUCCCGGACUACUGUAUUUAAAAGGCUGUUAUGAAGAUUUGUUCGCGGUCUGCGUCUGUAAUGUAAGAAUACACACACACUGAAGAAGACUCCGUAGAGUCGAAACGUUUGUGUCCUUUAUAUACGAAUAAAUAUGUAUUAUUAGCUA